GCCACAAUCAUGUCAACCUAUUCCGUGUUACACGCCGCAAAUCAUGGCCGGUAAAACUUCAUAAACAAGCUUUGUAGCUAGCCUCUCCUCUCAGCUUUUAGUUUCAUUCAUAGCAACUGCUGCAACCACUGUCCCUAAAUGCGGAAGGAUCUGCCGAGUUUCUGAAACGCACCGGCUCUCCGGGCCUCCGGCUGUCGUUUGUUCCGGCGACCGGCGUUGCCUGUUGCCUUCAACCUCGGCCACCUGCUGUCUGCUCUCCGGUGUGUUGUGCUCAUCUGCCGCUUGAUGAGAGAAGAUGAAGAGGUGCUGCGACGAUCACGGGGUUACUUGUGCUCAGCGCCUCGAUUGUUGCCAGUUCACGGAUGGAGAAGUAAACCAGCAACAUCUGAACAAUACUGGCCUUGAGAUACAAGUUGCAGAGGGGGACGUCAAGAGAAGCCACCUGAAGUUUCAGGACAAGGCCACGAGCUCGCACCAAGCGUUCCUUCUCUCCACCAGGGAGGUACUAGUCAGGGAAUGCGUCAAAUUGGCCAGCGCGAUAAGGCGAGCUGCAGCAGGCUGCGUCACACCAUCGACUGGAGCUGACGAGGACGAUCUCCCUUACAUGCAGCUCGACAAGGUGGCGCAGGCGGUGAGCAGGGAGACAUUUGGACCGCUUUACUUGGUCACAUGAUUUUCGCGUUGGGUGAUUCGGGAUUUAGCUCUUUGGUGUCUUUGAUGAAGUUGUUGUCAGGUUGCUUUACCUUUUUCUGAACUCAAAGAGGACUCGGAAUUGUUGUGAAGUUGUGAUAUCUUGUUUCAUCGAUUUAGUUUUUUUUUUCUUUGA